AACCCGGCCUUCCUGGAGGCCUCGCGCGGUUUGUUGAGCGUAUAUGCAUGUGCAGCCAUGGAAACGAAAGGCGUCUCUACUUAGCGGCCUCGCCUCGCUUGGGUGGGGCGCCAUAUAUCCGCUGCUCAUCUCAGAGGCAGCGAUUUCGGUCACCGAACGGGAGCGCUCGAGUCGGCAACGGAUAGCUACUGUUUGCCGCGCGCCGCAGUAUCUGUUUGCGCGGCGGUGGAGCGCAACCCUGUCGCUUCUAAGUUCUGGUUGGUGGUGCUAGUGGGUGGGUCUCAUUAAGAACGUGAGUUUGCAAGUACCGAGGUAAAGAGGGCUCGGGAGCGUGCUUGCGCGGCCCAAUUUUUCUCGAUUCACAGAAUACACUGAAUUGUCCACACCUGCUUUCCUUCAGUUCUAUUACUACCAACGCGACUAGUAGUUGGGGGCUCAGUGUGUCACGUGAACGUCAAUCCUUGUUCUGGAAGAAGAAACGUCCCAGGACGUGGCUGCUUGUACUGGAUCGAAGAAGGAUUUUAAAUACAGAAACCGUUUGGGAAGCUGAGCGACUGAUGUGUAAAAUGGUUGGGCUGGAAAAGUCCCACCGAGGUCUGCGGUACAAAGCGCCAAACACUGAGGUGCAAUAAAGAAAAAUAGCGGCUAUGACAGGUGUACUACUGGACUGCAGCUGGAAGCCUUGCAAUAUUAUGUUGCAAAAGGCCAUUUGGGCUGAACUUCACCAGUUUCCAUCAUUACUGAGCUGUGGUGGCGCAGUGGUUAGAGUGUAGUACUGCAGUCUACUUCUGAUCACCAGCUGCCAGCAGUUUGGCAGAUCGAAUCUCACCAGGCUCAAGGUUGUCUCAGUCUUCCAUCCUUCUGAGAUUCACAUUGCCUUUUGGUGUAACCUUUGAUGUCAAAAAGAUUCUCCCAGCAUAUGUAGUUGAAGUUAACAGAUUUGAAUUGCUCAACAUCACAGAAAGACAACCAGAUGAGCUAUGGGAAGAAAUAAAAACAACCAUAAUUGAAGUAGCCCAAUCAAAUAUUGCAUACAAGAAGCCAACAAAAUUGGCCAGAUGAAUAUCAGAAAUUACAAUAGAGACUGCAGAAGAGAAAAGGAAAACAAAAGCCAUUGGUGACAGGGAAGAAAUGCAAAAACUAAAUGCAAAGUUCCAGAGAGAGACAAGAAAAGAUAAAAGUACUGAUCUGAGCAAUCUAAGAAACUAAAGGAAGCAGCCAUGAGAGGUCAUACAAGAAAGGAUAUCAUUUAUGAAAUGUUUGAACCAGGAUUUAUAUCAUCACUCAUCACCAACCACAAGUGUCAAUGCUUAGUCCACAAAAAGGGAUUUCCUUUAUAGUAGCUGCUGAAAUGUAGCAUUAAAGAUUGUUCCUUGAAUGGCAUAGAUAUAAAAUAGAAUUCAAAUGGAUACUCAAUGCAAAUAUAGAAAGUUUAUCUCAUGAAUCAUAUAAGGUAAACAGUCUGAAUAAUCUACAUCAGAUGGUGAAUCUUUGACAUGCUUUCUCUGAUAGAGAUAAAAAGUUUUCCUUCAAAACCAAAGUGAUUCAGGAACUUCCGGUUGACUUCACAGCAGGACCGGACUGGAAAAUAGCGGGCUCUGAUGAGCUGCAUGAAAUCCAGCUGGAUGAACCGCUCCUGGGUUGCUUUUGAGCCAUAGCCGUCUUGCAGGGAUGGUGAAGGAAGGAGAGGUGUUUCGUGGACCGUGAGGAAUUGGCAAUUUCCUUGCUGGAACAGAAACAGCUCUCCCGAAGUGGCAGCAGGGGUAGCGGCCAUCUUACGAUGGCCUCCUUGAAGCUGGGACAACCGGACCUAAGAAUUGAGCUGGAGCAGCAUUUGGAUGGAGUGCUAGAACUGGGUGAGAUAAUUGCCAAUUUAUACUAAGAAAAAAUUGAAAUUGGAAUCUUAAAAGAAAUCCUUGAGCUUGGACUAGUGGCUAUCUGGCAUUUGGGGGGGGGAACCACACAUACGGAAAAAAGAAAAAGUGGGGACUGUAAUACAAAAAGCCUAAAAAGAAGUUUUAGAUCUGGAAAAUUGGGAAAAGCAAAAUAUUUCAAAAGGGGGGGGGGAGUGAUUUUCGGAAGAAAACAACAACUUAUAGGAGAAUUUUAAAAAAUUUCUGGAUAUUUUGAUAAUUAAUUGGACUUAACAGACUAUUUUGCAAUGGAAUAGAAACGAAGAGUGCCAUCUGCUGGAGGAAAGAAAAAGUACUGUAAUACUGUACUUAAAUAGACAAAACAGAAGAAAUAGCAGCUGGAAGCCCUGACCUUGGCCAUAGAGAAGAAGAUAAUUUGGACACUGUGAGAAUAUUUAAGGAGUGACUGUGUUUUACAUCUGAGAUUUUGUUUCAUUUUGCUUCUCUCAUGGAAGAUAGCCUUUUAAUUGGAUUUGACUGUUGUUAAAUUUGGACAAUUAAUAAUUUCGGAGAUCAUUUUAAAUUUGGAAUAUUUGAUGAAUAAGGAAUAAUUGAAGAAGAAAAAGAAGAAAAGAAGAGGAGAUAUAAGAAAAUUAAAUAGACUUUAAAUUUUGGCUAAAUGCAAAGAGAUACAAUUGGGGAGGUUUUAAUAAUCUUUUAAACUGCUACAAAAUGGAGUUGCAGAUAUAUAAAAAGUUAAUUUUGAUGUUUAAAA